rnacentral:rRNA from 1 species
UACAGAGGUCCCAAGCGUUGUUCGGAUUCACUGGGCGUAAAGGGCGCGUAGGCGGUCGGGUAAGUCGGGGGGGAAAUCUCACAGCUUAACUGUGAAACUGCAUUGGAUACUAUUCGGCUUGAGAGUUGGAGGGGGGACUGGAAUUCUUGGUGUAGCAGUGAAAUGCGUAGAUAUCAAGUGGAACACCAGUGGCGAAGGCGAGUCUCUGGACAUUUCCUGACGCUGAGGAGCGAAAGCGUGGGGAGCGAACAGG